rnacentral:rRNA from 1 species
UACAGAGGGUGCGAGCGUUAAUCGGAAUUACUGGGCGUAAAGCGUGCGUAGACGGUUAUGUAAGUCAGGUGUGAAAGCCCCGGGCUCAACCUGGGAAUUGCAUUUGAGACUGCAUAGCUAGGGUGCGGAAGAGGGAAGCGGAAUUUCCGGUGUAGCGGUGAAAUGCGUAGAUAUCGGAAGGAACACCAGUGGCGAAAAGCGGCUUCCUGGUCCAGCACCGACGUUCAGGCACGAAAGCGUGGGGAGCAAACAGG